GCGGCCCCGUAGUCUAGUGGUUAGGACAUUGGACACUGAAUCCGGUAGCCCAAGUUCAAAACUCUUCGGGGCCUA